AGGGACGCGCAUCCCUCACGGGUGGAAUUUUCACAUCAAAAGUUUUUUUCUUCCCCCUCCCUUGGGAAGCGGUGCUCUGGCUUUUUGGCGCUCGGAGGCAGCAGGUCGGAGUGGUUGGUUUCAGGCGAAUGAUGUCGUGUACGUUUGCCAACCAUCAGUGGCAGAGAAUAUUGGGAUUUUUCUUGUUUCUUAUUUCGCUUUGAGCGUUUGCCAGGGUUGCGAUGGCGAGUGUAGCUGAGUUUUCGCGCUGUGCCAUCUGAACACUUGGUCACCUGGCAGGAAGUUUGUAAGGCUGAGAUCUGUCUUCCACGCCUCUGCUGUGUGGGGCGCGAGUGUUGCAUUGUGCUAAUCUCAGUCUGCAGCGUUGGCCUUUUGAAGUUCCCUGAGUUCCGCGCUGUAACCUAACACCACAGGUAUGCUAGCUCAUCCUGGAAAUGGCUCCGUGUUUCCAGCCCUCGGGGGCUGCCGAUUUUGGAGGGAGGGUUCUCGUGGGCGCGUUCUUCUUUGCCUAGGAAUCACCCGUGAAAGCUGCUGCUGUUGGAGAAAGUGGUUUCAGACCGAAAUAAAAACUGAACUGAAAGUUAGACCGUGAACCCACAGCGGUCUCGGUUUUGGAGCUAAUCCUGUUCAGAGAUCGGUGGUGAUGACCAGCGCUGUGUGAGCAGAGGCUGAACGGGGCAGCACGCUUAGAGACGCGCAGGAGGAUUGUCAGGUGCCCGGGAUGCUUAUUGCUGUCCCUCCGCGGGUGCUUGAGAUGCUGGAAUUGUCAGUUUUUAAUUCUACUUAGCCCAGACUAUACCUUCAGUAUAAUGAUAGAAAGGUCCACGCCGAUGAAGUUACUGAAGUCUGGGAA